rnacentral:rRNA from 1 species
UACGAAGGGUGCAAGCGUUACUCGGGAUUACUGGGCGUAAAGCGUGCGUAGGUGGUUUGUUAAGUCUGAUGUGAAAGCCCUGGGCUCAACCUGGGAACUGCAUUGGAAACUGGCUUACUAGAGUGCGGUAGAGGGGUGUGGAAUUCCCGGUGUAGCAGUGAAAUGCGUAGAUAUCGGGAGGAACAUCUGUGGCGAAGGCGACACCCUGGACCAGCACUGACACUGAGGCACGAAAGCGUGGGGAGCAAACAGG